rnacentral:rRNA from 4 species
AAAUUGAAGAGUUUGAUCAUGGCUCAGAUUGAACGCUGGCGGCAGGCCUAACACAUGCAAGUCGAACGGUAACAGGAAGCAGCUUGCUGCUUCGCUGACGAGUGGCGGACGGGUGAGUAAUGUCUGGGAAACUGCCUGAUGGAGGGGGAUAACUACUGGAAACGGUGGCUAAUACCGCAUAACGUCGCAAGACCAAAGAGGGGGACCUUCGGGCCUCUUGCCAUCAGAUGUGCCCAGAUGGGAUUAGCUUGUUGGUGAGGUAACGGCUCACCAAGGCGACGAUCCCUAGCUGGUCUGAGAGGAUGACCAGCCACACUGGAACUGAGACACGGUCCAGACUCCUACGGGAGGCAGCAGUGGGGAAUAUUGCACAAUGGGCGCAAGCCUGAUGCAGCCAUGCCGCGUGUAUGAAGAAGGCCUUCGGGUUGUAAAGUACUUUCAGCGGGGAGGAAGGUGUUGUGGUUAAUAACCGCAGCAAUUGACGUUACCCGCAGAAGAAGCACCGGCUAACUCCGUGCCAGCAGCCGCGGUAAUACGGAGGGUGCAAGCGUUAAUCGGAAUUACUGGGCGUAAAGCGCACGCAGGCGGUCUGUCAAGUCGGAUGUGAAAUCCCCGGGCUCAACCUGGGAACUGCAUUCGAAACUGGCAGGCUUGAGUCUUGUAGAGGGGGGUAGAAUUCCAGGUGUAGCGGUGAAAUGCGUAGAGAUCUGGAGGAAUACCGGUGGCGAAGGCGGCCCCCUGGACAAAGACUGACGCUCAGGUGCGAAAGCGUGGGGAGCAAACAGGAUUAGAUACCCUGGUAGUCCACGCCGUAAACGAUGUCUACUUGGAGGUUGUGCCCUUGAGGCGUGGCUUCCGGAGCUAACGCGUUAAGUAGACCGCCUGGGGAGUACGGCCGCAAGGUUAAAACUCAAAUGAAUUGACGGGGGCCCGCACAAGCGGUGGAGCAUGUGGUUUAAUUCGAUGCAACGCGAAGAACCUUACCUGGUCUUGACAUCCACAGAAGAAUCCAGAGAUGGAUUUGUGCCUUCGGGAACUGUGAGACAGGUGCUGCAUGGCUGUCGUCAGCUCGUGUUGUGAAAUGUUGGGUUAAGUCCCGCAACGAGCGCAACCCUUAUCCUUUGUUGCCAGCGGUCCGGCCGGGAACUCAAAGGAGACUGCCAGUGAUAAACUGGAGGAAGGUGGGGAUGACGUCAAGUCAUCAUGGCCCUUACGACCAGGGCUACACACGUGCUACAAUGGCGCAUACAAAGAGAAGCGACCUCGCGAGAGCAAGCGGACCUCAUAAAGUGCGUCGUAGUCCGGAUUGGAGUCUGCAACUCGACUCCAUGAAGUCGGAAUCGCUAGUAAUCGUGGAUCAGAAUGCCACGGUGAAUACGUUCCCGGGCCUUGUACACACCGCCCGUCACACCAUGGGAGUGGGUUGCAAAAGAAGUAGGUAGCUUAACCUUCGGGAGGGCGCUUACCACUUUGUGAUUCAUGACUGGGGUGAAGUCGUAACAAGGUAACCGUAGGGGAACCUGCGGUUGGAUCACCUCCUUACCUUAAAGAAGC